rnacentral:tRNA from 1 species
GGAGAGAUGGCCGAGUGGUUUAAGGCGAUAGUCUUGAAAACUAUUAUAGGAUAAAAUUAAUUCUAUCUAGGGUUCGAAUCCCUAUCUCUCCG